AAGUUAUAAUAAGGUUUCUAUAGGUAAACCUAUAGAAGGAUUAUUAUAGUAUAUUUAUAUCUAGGAUGUAGGGUGCUUUAGAGUACCCUUCCUACUAAACCUUGUAAAUUUAAACUUAAUAGUUACCUUAGUAGGCUUAACUACCUAUAGAUAAAUCUAAAUUCUUUAAUAAACUAGCUAUAAUUAAUAUAACUAUCUAAAUUAAUAUUAAUAAUUA
rnacentral:misc_RNA from 1 species